rnacentral:lncRNA from 1 species
UGACGGUGUAAGUGGGCAGCACACACAGCCCGCUGGAGGCAAGCGACGGGUGGGAGAAGGCUGGCUGAGGUGGGGGCGGGGUUAGACAGAAAGGCUCUGUGGUGUUAAGGAAAGAUGGGGCAGCCAGAGUCUGCUUGUCUGUAAUGGAGGAAAGCGUGCUUAGGAAGGUGUGGGAAAGGCGUGCAACUUUGAGCCCCAGCUGCCAAAGGCAAACUCCAGGAGACAUUUUGGUAGCUUUCCCCCUACCUUUAGAGUUGGAUGUUUUACAACAUUUUGUAAACAGGCAAUGCAAGCUCUCAGUACUGUGGCCGCUCUUGUUUUUGCUGCCCUGACACUAUGGACCAAGCCACCCAUCCCUCUUCUUGGUUUAUGAACGAAAGCUCCCCGCCCCCGCCCCCCUCCCACCGUGACCCAGAAUAUCAGCUUUUCUUAGGGAGGCCUCCAAAGGAAGGAAAACUGGGGGUGGGGAGGCAUUUUAAAAUCCAAGUAGGAACACUUAAAAGUCCUAGUAAAAGGGCAAGAAGUCAGAUGCUUUGAAAUCCACCCCUCUCAGCAGAGGUAGAAGGGCCUUUCCAGGAGGAGCUGGCACCAGAAUGCUUUUCUCCAGGGUAGCCAUGGCCUGGCAUUUGGUAAAUUCCAAUUGAGUUGGAGCCUUCAACUGACUCUUUCUUCUUUUGCCAUCCCUCCCCCAGAGGCUAGGCAAAGGUCCCUGCAGCAGCUUCCUCUGACCCAGGCCCG